rnacentral:sRNA from 1 species
GUCUGCACUUGUCGGGGAAGGGUGAGAACCCUCGAUUAAGGUUCGACUCGAGCGAAAGCGAGAGAACGUUGCCAACGGCAACGGCCCGUAGGGUGAG